GCGGAGGAAAAGAAACCAACAGGGAUUGCCCUAGUAACGGCGAGUGAAGCGGCAACAGCUCAAAUUUGAAAUCUGGCUCUCUUUGGGGGUCCGAGUUGUAAUUUGCAGAGGAUGCUUUGGCAUUGGCGGCGGUCUAAGUUCCUUGGAACAGGACAUCGCAGAGGGUGAGAAUCCCGUACGUGGGCGCCUGCCUUUGCCGUGUAAAGCUCCUUCGACGAGUCGAGUUGUUUGGGAAUGCAGCUCUAAAUGGGAGGUAAAUUUCUUCUAAAGCUAAAUACCGGCCAGAGACCGAUAGCGCACAAGUAGAGUGAUCGAAAGAUGAAAAGUACUUUGGAAAGAGAGUCAAAAAGCACGUGAAAUUGUUGAAAGGGAAGCGCUUGCAGCCAGACUUGCCCGCAGUUGCUCACCUAGGCUUUGGCCUGGGGCACUCUUCUGCGGGCAGGCCAGCAUCAGUUUGGGCGGUCGGACAAAGGCCUCUGUCAAGUAUCUCCCUUCGGGGUGACCUUAUAGGGGAGGCGUAAUGCGACCAGCCCGGACUGAGGUCCGCGCAUCUGCUAGGAUGCUGGCGUAAUGGCUGUAAGCGGCCCGUCUUGAAACACGGACCAAGGAGUCUAACAUCUAUGCGAGUGUUUGGGUGUCAAGCCCGGGCGCGCAAUGAAAGUGAACGGAGGUGGGAACCCUUUGGGUGCACCAUCGACCGAUCCUGAUGUCUUCGGAUGGAUUUGAGUAAGAGCAUAGCUGUUGGGACCCGAAAGAUGGUGAACUAUGCUUGAAUAGGGUGAAGCCAGAGGAAACUCUGGUGGAGGCUCGCAGCGGUUCUGACGUGCAAAUC
rnacentral:sRNA from 1 species